CGCUGGCGGCGUGCCUAACACAUGCAAGUCGUACGAAGAAAGUCCGCUUCGGUGGGCAAGUAAAGUGGCGCACGGGUGAGUAACGCGUGGAUAAUCUACCCUUUAGUCUGGAAUAACUUGUCGAAAGGUGAACUAAUACCGGAUAAUAUCCUGGUUUCUCCGGAAAUUGGGAUCAAAGAAGGCCUCUGCUUGCAAGCUUUUGCUGAAGGAUGAGUCCGCGUACCAUUAGCUAGUUGGUAGGGUAAUGGCCUACCAAGGUUAUGAUGGUUAGCUGGUCUGAGAGGAUGAUCAGCCACACUGGAACUGAAACACGGUCCAGACUCCUACGGGAGGCAGCAGUGAGGAAUAUUUGCGCAAUGGGGGCAACCCUGACGCAGCAACGCCGCGUGAGUGAGGAAAGUUUUUCGGAUUGUAAAGCUUUGUCGAGCGGAAAAGAAAAUAUAUGKKGGGCUAAUMUUCCACCMWGUUUGACGGGUACCCGCUAGAGGRAAGCACCGGCUWAACUUCCGUGCUCAGCAGCUCGCGGUAAUACGGGGGGKUGCAAAGCGUUUGUUUCGGAAUCAUUUGGGCGUAAAAGAGCGUGUAGGCGGCUGGACAAGUCAGAAUGUGAAAGCCCCUGGGCUUACCCCAGGAAGUGCAUUUUGAAACUGUCUUGCUUGAGUAAAGGA
rnacentral:rRNA from 1 species